UAAGUUUCAAAUUAUACCAACUAAUGAAAUUCCAUAUCCUCCAAAUUGUACAAAGCAAAUUUGAAUUGAUAGAGGAUCUAACUUUCUAAUAACAUGCAAAUAAACCAGAAAGACAAAGUAAUAACAUGAUCAGAAAAAUUAAGACACAAUAUGCAAUAUAUAUUAUGACAUGAAGGGUACAAUACAAGAAAUUAGAGUUUGAGGGACAAAUCAAGUUUCUGCAACUCCUCUUGUUUAGUCUUUAAACAUGUAGUAGUAACACUAUUUCCCAGCCAGUAACCUCCAAUUAAUCCAUCUUGCACCU
rnacentral:lncRNA from 1 species